rnacentral:rRNA from 1 species
UACGGGGGGGGCAAGCGUUGUUCGGAAUUACUGGGCGUAAAGGGCUCGUAGGUGGCCAACUAAGUCAGACGUGAAAUCCCUCGGCUUAACCGGGGAACUGCGUCUGAUACUGGAUGGCUUGAGUUUGGGAGAGGGAUGCGGAAUUCCAGGUGUAGCGGUGAAAUGCGUAGAGAUCGGGAAGAACACCAGUGGCGAAGGCGACGUGCUGGGUUGCAACUGACGCUGAGAUGCGAAAGUGUGGGGAGCAAACGGG